ensembl:lncRNA
GCUCAACUGUCUUGGUGCCUGAAAUUCACACUGUUGUCUCCAUCCUACCUUCCUUUCAUGGCGUUUGAAGGAGCUGCGGCCAAAAGGGCCAAACUCGUUGCAUCCAGGGUCCACUGGGGCAACACGGGCCCAUGUGUUUCCAUUAUGGACCAGGACACUCACGGAAAUCCAAGUCAGGACAGUGUUGGGAAGUGGCUCAGCACCAAUGUCACUCAGGAAGAUGCAAAGCAAGAGCCACUGCAGGAAGACGCAGGGCCUCUGCAGAGGAACCCCAGCAGUGACGAUGACUUGGCGCUGGGUGUAGAAGCGUCUUUAUACGCCAAACAAGGAGUGAAGACGGUCCAGGAGUUUCUGCGGUAAGGAGAUCGCUCUUCUUCACCAUGUUUCUGUCAGUCAUACAGAACCACACAGACAGCAGUACAGAGGGAGUCUGUUGUGACACAGCACAGAGCUCCACUUAAAUGUAUUUACAGAAGAAUAGCUCA